AGAGUUUGAUCCUGGCUCAGGACGAACGCUGACGGUGUGCUUUAGGCAUGCAAGUCGAACGAGAAAGCCCUUUGGGGUGAGUAAAGUGGCGAACGGGUGAGUAACACGUGGGCAACCUGCCCCUCGCAGGGGGACAACCGGAGGAAACUCCGGCUAAUACCCCGUAAGCUCUACACGCCGCAUGGCGAGUAGAGGAAAGGUAGCUUCGGCCAUCCGGCGAGGGAUGGGCCCGCGGUGCAUUAGCUAGUUGGUGGGGUAACGGCCCACCAAGGCUACGAUGCAUAGCUGGUCUGAGAGGAUGAUCAGCCACACUGGGACUGAGACACGGCCCAGACUCCUACGGGAGGCAGCAGUCGGGAAUCUUGCGCAAUGGGCGAAAGCCUGACGCAGCAACACCGUGUGAGCGACGAAGGCCUUCGGGUCGUAAAGCUCUGUUGUUGGGGACGAAGGGCGAGGGGUUAAUAGCCCUUAGCUUGACGGUACCCUUCGAGGAAGCCCCGGCUAACUACGUGCCAGCAGCCGCGGUAAUACGUAGGGGGCGAGCGUUGUCCGGAAUUAUUGGGCGUAAAGAGCGUGUAGGCGGUUCGGUAAGUCUGCCGUGAAAACCUGGGGCUCAACCCCGGGCGUGCGGUGGAAACUGCCGGGCUAGAGGAUGGUAGAGGCGAGUGGAAUUCCCGGUGUAGCGGUGAAAUGCGCAGAUAUCGGGAGGAACACCAGUAGCGAAGGCGGCUCGCUGGGCCAUUCCUGACGCUGAGACGCGAAAGCUAGGGGAGCGAACAGGAUUAGAUACCCCAGUAGUCC
rnacentral:rRNA from 1 species